CACAGCCCUAUUGGCCACUAACUUCAGUCAGGCCAAGAUCUCACGCAAUGAAUAGUUCCAUUGAAAUGGGUGGGGCUGCUGUCAAUAUAUGAAAUUAAGCAUAUGCAAAUGUUUGCAGGUUUAAACCCAAAUAUUUAUCUAUCUUUCUGAAGCUUUAAAUCAAACAAAGCAUCUAUAAAACCUUUAUCCAUAACUAAAAUCUGUUCCAUUCUGAGGACAAACAUGGGAACUCCCCAAAGGCACACAUCACUGUUAAACAAACACAACUCUUAGGACAUUGAAAAAGCUAAAUGUCUUGUUCAUGACAACACAUCUUUCUGACUGGUGCUUACUGAUAAUACUGCAUUUGCUAGUGCAGAAUGGUUGCCUAAAAAAACACAUGUGGAAAGAGCUUGUGAUUGUGGAAUGAGAAAUGGGAAUUACUGAACUCUUCACUAAGUUCCUGAAUUGACUGUGAUCCCAUUGUUUGGUCUUCCCGGUUUGAUCCUUGUAAGCAGUUUUAUGAAUGAAACUGUGUGCGCACAAAAAGUAAGUCUAGUUGCAGAAUCAGUCUGGCAUGGUCAACUGAUCCAGGAGAAGUGGUUCAGCAAGCUUCCAUGCUAGAAGUCUGGGAGAAGGGUGAACUUGAAUGGAAUUUGAUCUGCUAUUGCAAUUAGUUGGGGUUGGCAUAAUAACCUUAAUGAUUUUGGGCAUAUGUACAGUUCCUUUUUCAAAACAAACUGCUUCAAAAUACUUUUCUUUACCUUAUUAGGAGCUAAAGUCUCUGGCACAUUUCUUAUUUAAAAUCAAUAUAGUUUUGAGUUUGAUGCAUAAUAUAGGAAGUACUUCUUUUAGGAUUACAUCAAAAAUGACUAGACACAUAGAGAGCGAACACAUGCACUGUGUAGAUUGAUUAAACGAGGGAAAUAGCAUCCUGAAAAUGCUUUUUUUUCUUGUUUGAUAACAUUAUUUAUCAGCCUUCAGUCAAUAUCUCUCUCUUUCUUCAUACAAUUUCCCGUUGCUUUUGCAAUCUGAAUUUCACAAAUAUGACUUUUUCAUAAUAGCAUUUAUUUUAAAAUGUAAUGUGUUCCUCCACCAGCAGCAUACACCACACUUUGUUUUAUACCACCUGCUAGCUAAAUGCUAGUUUUUUGUUUCUUCUGGAAAGAGGCAAAUCUUAGGUUCUAUAUAAAUGCUCUAGAUACCUACCCAGUGUUCUCCCAUUCAAACAGAGCCAUGCUUGGAGGGUCUGAGCCUGCAUCAUUCAGCCUUGAAAGAGAGGAGGAUCAAUUCCUAAUUAUCUGUAUGAGACAUGCUAUCUUUGCCAUGUUCAGACUGUCCAAAGACUUUUCUUCACAGUUUAUGUCUCUUCACUGUGUCUAAAAUUUAUAAUGACCAAGUUGAUCUGUUGAAAAUAUGCAUGUUGCCUUUCUUUGUUACACAUUAUUGUCUGUUGAUUGGAUUUAAAUUAUGUUAGAGUGGGACUAUAUUUCAUUCUGGGUACAGAGUGCUUAUCAUAAUGGAGCCUCCAGGCACUACUGUAAUACAAGUAAUAAGUUAAUAAAAAUAGAUGUUGGAAAGAAUAUCUGGGGAAGAAAGGACAUGAAACUGUGAGCAGCAUUGGACUGCGUGGCUUCAGAGCAACAGUUUUUGAGGUAGUGGGGAGACAUACUGUCCAUCCCUGUACAAUUCAGUCAGCCCCAAUAGUGAGUUGUAGAGUUUAACAAUGUGAGUUUAUUUGGGUAUGAAUAGGAUUCAUUCUAAGGCACUGAGAGGCUAAGGCCCUGGCAGACGUUAUACUUAUAUGUGAUUAACCAGUUAAUCACAUCUUCAGUAGUAACUUGGCAGCAAAUUAAUGUAAUUAAUGGUGUGAUAAGAGACAAAUUAGCCACAGAAUGAUUACACAAUAUAUGCACCGUAAUUUUGUGGCUGGUUCCCAUCAUGCCUUAAAUUAACAUGUGGUCAGUGUAUUUCUGGGCUGGGAGCAUGGAGCAGCUAACUGGUGCUCCUAGCUGCAGGUGCACUGGCUGCCCACCUGGCUUGCUGAUUGCCAGUGUAGGGGGAGCCUGGGAUCAUGAUUCCAGGGUCCCUCUGAACAGGCAGUAGGUUAUGGUAGAAUCUAAUCCCUGAACCCACAAUUGCACCUCAUGCUAUUCACUUGUGGCAUGACAGGAGGCGUGAUUGCUAGGAUUUGAUCCUAUCAUACCUCUAACUGAAUAGAUGUUAGCAGCCUAAGGGCAUAGCUAAACAUAUACCCUUAACCUGGGUUAGCCCACCUCAAUGAGCUAAGCUACUUUAGCCUAUAGUAGAGCUUGGGGUUGAACUUGGGCUUCUAUCCAGAGUUUAAAAACCCAUGGUACUGCAUCUUCACUGCUGUUAUAACUCAGUUAGGUAACUCAUGAUGAUUUUUGGUGAUGUAGAGAGCCUGAGUUGUAGUGAAACUUGAUAUAACAAGCAGUAUUUCUGCAUUUUCCAUCAUUAGUUUAUGAAAGAUCGGACUUAGCGACUUUACCUCUGUUAAAGGCUUCUGGGACAGGUGGGGAUUUCAUACAUGUAUCUAUACUCAAUCUAUACUUCUUCCUAUGUUGCCACGUAACCGUCUAUACUUGAUUGUGGCAGAGGAUGGACAUGCCAUUACAUGUCUUGCCUAAUUUAUUGUGACUAGGUAAAUAACAAACUAGAUACACACAACCAGGGAAAAAUUAUAGGUAGCCAUAUGUAACCAUAUUUUUGUGAUUAAAUGUAACUAUCUUAAAAUAACAUAUUACCAGAAAUUUACAUUGUUUUUAUGAUUUAACAAUUUACAAGGAUAUAAAAGGUAGAAUUUCUGUUAUGUAGGAAAAAUUGCCAGUAAUGUAAUUUCAGUUUCAUGGGAAAAUAAUCUUGUGUUUAAGCCUGUUUUCUCUGCCUUGAAAUUUACAAGAAGCACUUUAUCUCUAUGACUGAUUUUAGCAGGAAUUAUGUAUGAAAGAUGGACUCUAGCAAAUGAUUUGUCUGUGGACUCACACCUGCAGCCCAGAUCCAUCCUCUGCAUCCAGUUUCUGCAUUGUCCAGUUAAGCACCAGGUCCCAGCAUUGUAAAGUCCUCCAGAGUGGGAGGAUGUUCUUUCCAUGGGAAUCUGCUGGCCUCAACUACAAGAGGGUCUAUUGCUGUUGCCCCAAAGUGGGCAAUGUUUGUCAGGAGUGGAUAUGAUGAGGGCAAGCUAAGCAUGUUCUGAUUCAGCACAGCUCCUAUGCACAACUUAUUCAUGUCACAGCCCUGCUUGGAAACUCCCAAGACUGAUGUUUGUGCCCCCCGAUGCUAGAUGAAUCUGAGCAGACUGAAGUGUUGUCUCUUUCCUUGGCAUCUCAUUACAUUUUGGGGGCACAGACUGUCUGUGUGUAAUCCCUUUACAGAAAUGUAUGUUUAAGUCUAGCUGCCCAGGGCCACCAUUUUGGUGCUUGUGGUUAAGUUCAUGACCCAACAAGGUCCAGCCCCUCUAGGAUGGAAAGGGAUAGUAACAGUGUUGUUACUCAUCACCUUGGGGUAGAAGGUGAAGAAGAGAAUUGUCUCUGACUGAAAUUAGAGAGAAACAAAAUAAAAUUGUUGUACUUGGAUUCUGGCCAGAAAUUGGUACUAAGUUCCCAGUCCUUCCUUUCUUACAAGUUCAGUGUAUGUGGGUUAUACAGAAAUAAAGGCUUCACGUCAGCAGUUA